CCUACGGGAGGCAGCAGUGGGGAAUAUUGCGCAAUGGGCGAAAGCCUGACGCAGCGACGCCGCGUGAGGGAUGAAGGUCUUCGGAUCGUUAACCUCUGUCAGCAGGGAAGAACGGUCACUGUGCUAAUCAGCAGUGAAUUGACGGUACCUGCAAAGGUAGCACCGGCGAACUCCGUGCCCGCAGCCGCGGUAAUACGGCGGGUGCGUGCGUUAAUCGGAAUUACUGGGCGAAAAGCGCUCGUAGGGGGUAUGUCAAUUCAAGGGGAAAGCCCCGCGCUCAACGUGGGAACUGCCUUUGAAACUGGCAAACUUGAGUGUGGGAGAGGAUAGUGGAAUUCCAGGUGUAGGAGUGAAAUCCGUAGAUAUCAGGAGGAACAUCAGUGGCGAAGGCGACUAUCUGGCACAUAACUGACGCUGAGGAGCGAAAGCGUGGGUAGCAAACAGGAUUAGAUACCCCGGUAGUC
rnacentral:rRNA from 1 species